UAGAGAGUAUGAGUAAUCUUUUGGGAGCUUUUGAGUGCCGUUCUGGUGAGUUGGAGGCUUGAUCUUGGUGGUUGAAGGCUAGUAGAGGCUAUAUCCAUGCUGUGAGGUGUUAAAAGAGUCAGAUCUUUCCUUGUUCUUCCUUGUUUUCGUUGCUGUUCAAUCUUGUAAAAGGUGAGUGCAUGACCAAGGCUUUGGGUGUUUUUAUGAUUGUUGGAUUGAUUUCUUUGCUUGUUUGGCUGUUUAUGUGUUGAUUGAUCCCUGUGAAACCCCUUGAAGACUCGUUCAUAUCACGAGGAUGAUUUGAAGUGGAGAUCCAUUGAGAAAACGCAGCUGGAGGGAUGCAGAGUGUCAGUGUCGAUUGAAACCAGUGGUGGGUGUCGCUCGACACCAAUGUUUUGUUCCGCGAGGAUAGUUGCGACUCGCGAACGGAGUGUCGAGCUCGAUGUCGACCGCGAGUGUCGAGCUCGAUGUCGACCGCGAGUGUCGAUCGACACCAGUGGUGGGUGUCGAUCGACACCGAUCGUCAUCAGCGAUGCUAGUUGUUAUUAAUUGGCUGUUCUGUUCAUUUUUCCUUGAUGAUGAUUGAUUUUACUUGUGUAUAUAGCCCAAUAGUUGGGAUGAGUGCCUCUCUAAGUAUUCUGGAAUACUUAUGCAUCUCUUUUUUGUGAUGCAGGUAAAGGAAAAGUGUGAUCCGUGGAAUCAUAGCGAAGAAAGGAGGAUGAUCUAGGCGCUCGUUGUUGUUUUGGAUUAUUGUUGGAAUUGUUACGCUGUUACACUGGAAUUUAGAAGCAUGAUAGGGUGAUUAUGUUUCUGGAAUAAUGUUUGGUUGAAGCUGGUUAAUGAAAUUGUUU
rnacentral:lncRNA from 1 species